AUUGAACGCUGGCGGCAUGCUUUACACAUGCAAGUCGAACGGUAACGGGUUAAGCUGACGAGUGGCGAACGGGUGAGUAAUGCAUCGGAACGUGCCCGGUCGUGGGGGAUAACGCAGCGAAAGCUGCGCUAAUACCGCAUACGAUCUGAGGAUGAAAGCGGGGGACCGUAAGGCCUCGCGCGAUCGGAGCGGCCGAUGUCAGAUUAGGUAGGUGGUGGGGUAAAGGCUAACCAAGCCAACGAUCUGUAGCUGGUCUGAGAGGACGACCAGCCACACUGGGACUGAGACACGGCCCAGACUCCUACUGGAGGCAGCAGUGGGGAAUUUUGGACAAUGGGCGAAAGCCUGAUCCAGCAAUGCCGCGUGCAGGAAGAAGGCCUUCGGGUUGUAAACUGCCUUUGUACGGAGCGAAAAGGUCUCCUCUAAUACAGGGGGCUCAUGACGGUACCGUAAGAAUAAGCACCGGCUAACUACGUGCCAGCCGCCGCAGUAA
rnacentral:rRNA from 1 species